GCCGGGGUGGCGGAAAUGGCAGACGCGUUAGACUAAGGAUCUAAUGAGGCGACUCGUGCAGGUUCAAUUCCUGUCCUCGGCACCA
rnacentral:tRNA from 1 species